rnacentral:rRNA from 1 species
CUCCUACGGGAGGCAGCAGUGGGGAAUUUUGGACAAUGGGCGAAAGCCUGAUCCAGCAAUGCCGCGUGAGUGAAGAAGGCCUUCGGGUUGUAAAGCUCUUUUGUCAGGGAAGAAACGGUGAGAGCUAAUAUCUUUUGCUAAUGACGGUACCUGAAGAAUAAGCACCGGCUAACUACGUGCCAGCAGCCGCGGUAAUACGUAGGGUGCAAGCGUUAAUCGGAAUUACUGGGCGUAAAGCGUGCGCAGGCGGUUUUGUAAGUCUGAUGUGAAAUCCCCGGGCUCAACCUGGGAAUUGCAUUGGAGACUGCAAGGCUAGAAUCUGGCAGAGGGGGGUAGAAUUCCACGUGUAGCAGUGAAAUGCGUAGAUAUGUGGAGGAACACCGAUGGCGAAGGCAGCCCCCUGGGUCAAGAUUGACGCUCAUGCACGAAAGCGUGGGGAGCAAACAGGAUUAGAUACCCCAGUAGUCCCA